CAUUAUAAGGGUGAUCUAGCUGGGACAUCUGUCACCCCAUUGAUUACCAACAUUUAUUUGGCUGCCUAAGCAGUUAUUCUUUUCUUCCCUAACCAUUUCAUGUAUGUCCCUCUCCAAGCUACAUACUUGAUGGAAGAGGAUGACUUCCAGAUGGAGUCUUUUGUCAAUGGUAUAUGAAUAGCUGCACUCUCCUGCUAGACACUUCAGACAAGUUUUCGAAAAUGUAUAUAGCUUAAGAUCUAUUUUUACAAAUCUAGAUUCAGAAAGACUAAAGCAAAGCUGAGAGUAUAUUU
rnacentral:snRNA from 1 species